rnacentral:rRNA from 1 species
AUUGAACGCUGGCGGCAGGCCUAACACAUGCAAGUCGAGCGAGCGGCGGACGGGGGAGUAAUGUAUGGGGACUGCCCGUUAUAGGGGGAUACCUACUGGAAACGGUAGCUAAUACCGCAUACUAUCGGAUAAUCGAUGUGGGAUUAGCUAGUAGGUGAGGUAAUGGCUCACCUAGGCGACGAUCCCCAGAUGGUCUGAGAGGAUGAUCAGCCACACUGGGACUGAGGCACGGCCCAGACUCCUACGGAGGCAGCAGUGGGGAAUAUUGGACAAUGGGCGAAAGCCUGAUGCAGCCAUGCCGCGUGUAUGAAGAAGGCCCUAGGGUUGUAAAGUACUUUCAGUCGGGAGGCGUUACCUAAAGAAGAAGCACCGGCUAACUACGUGCCAGCAGCCGCGGUAAUAC